GGACUUUUGUCAGGGAAGAAAAGGAUAGGGUUAAUACCCCUGUCUGAUGACGGUACCUGAAGAAUAAGCACCGGCUAACUACGUGCCAGCAGCCGCGGUAAUACGUAGGGUGCGAGCGUUAAUCGGAAUUACUGGGCGUAAAGCGGGCGCAGACGGUUACUUAAGCAGGAUGUGAAAUCCCCGGGCUCAACCUGGGAACUGCGUUCUGAACUGGGUGACUAGAGUGUGUCAGAGGGAGGUAGAAUUCCACGUGUAGCAGUGAAAUGCGUAGAGAUGUGGAGGAAUACCGAUGGCGAAGGCAGCCUCCUGGGAUAACACUGACGUUCAUGCCCGAAAGCGUGGGUAGCAAACAGGAUUAGAUACCCUGGUAGUCCACGCCCUAAACGAUGUCGAUUAGCUGUUGGGCAGCAUGACUGCUUAGUAGCGAAGCUAACGCGUGAAAUCGACCGCCUGGGGAGUACGGUCGCAAGAUUAAAACUCAAAGGAAUUGACGGGGACCCGCACAAGCGGUGGAUGAUGUGGAUUAAUUCGAUGCAACGCGAAGAACCUUACCUGGUCUUGACAUGUACGGAACCCUCCAGAGACGGAGGGGUGCCUUCGGGAGCCGUAACACAGGUGCUGCAUGGCUGUCGUCAGCUCGUGUCGUGAGAUGUUGGGUUAAGUCCCGCAACGAGCGCAACCCUUGUCAUUAGUUGCCAUCAUUAAGUUGGGCACUCUAAUGAGACUGCCGGUGACAAGCCGGAGGAAGGUGGGGAUGACGUCAAGUCCUCAUGGCCCUUAUGACCAGGGCUUCACACGUCAUACAAUGGUCGGUACAGAGGGUAGCCAAGCCGCGAGGUGGAGCCAAUCUCACAAAACCGAUCGUAGUCCGGAUUGCACUCUGCAACUCGAGUGCAUGAAGUCGGAAUCGCUAGUAAUCGCAGGUCAGCAUACUGCGGUGAAUACGUUCCCGGGUCUUGUACACACCGCCCGUCACACCAUGGGAGUGGGGGAUACCAGAAGUAGGUAGGGUAACCGCAAGGAGCCCGCUUACCACGGUAGCUACA
rnacentral:rRNA from 1 species